rnacentral:misc_RNA from 1 species
CAGCAAAGAUGAUAAUUUGAACCAUGUACAUGCUGAGGAAAAAAUGUCGAAGAUCGAUCACAUAUCUAGUUUUCUGCCCACAUCUAGACGGAUUGUGCAAUUUUCGAAUGGAAAGGGGCCUGGGCCAAAUGCUCGAGUUGUGUAUAUUGAUGGUGCGUUCGAUCUUUUUCAUGCUGGCCAUGUGGAGAUUCUUCGAAGUGCCAGACAGCUUGGAGAUUUUCUCUUAGUCGGAGUUUACACUGACGAGACUAUUAGCGAACUUCGUGGACAUCAGUAUCCACUGAUGAAUCUGCAUGAGCGCAGUCUUAGUGUACUUGCCUGCCGCUAUGUUGAUGAGGUCAUUAUUGGUGCCCCUUGGGAAGUGACCCACGAUAUGGUAACAACUUUCAAUAUUUCUGUGGUUGUACA